AUUAUAUCAACUACAUAUAGACAUUUAAUGGUGAAUUUUAAAACCCUUGUGGGUUCUACUACUUCAAGUACACUGGGUUUAUAUUCGUCUCUAACUCCGAAAUAAAGCAGUACCCCACAUGUACGCCUUUGCCAGGUUUUUGGGCAACUUGCAGAGUAAAAUUAGAGCCAUGCCAGGGAUGCUAUCUGUAUCACCAUACUAACUAGCCAUUGCUACGAUCAGAAAUGUUUGAGCCCUUACCAUACCAUCCAACAUUAUGUCCUGAGAAGUGACACACUCUGUGUGUGGUAGUGGGUGAGGGGUGCCAAUGGCUAUGACCAAAGGGGGUGGAUCUGACAGAAAGGGGAUAGGUAAGUCCAGAUUACUGACAGGUCAGUCUGGUGUGAAUGUCCACUGAGGACAGGACAUGCAUGGGAG